rnacentral:rRNA from 1 species
GUCUGCUUGGAGCUAUAAGAAGUCUAGCCUGCUCUCUGAUGAAUUUAAGGGCCGCGGUAAUCUGACCGUGCAAAGGUAGCAUAAUAGUUAGUUUUUUAAUUGGAAUCUUGUAUGAAUGGUUGGACAAAAGAAAUACUGUCUCUAUAAUUUUGUUUGAAUUUAACUUUUAAGUGAAAAGGCUUAAAUAUAUUAAAAAGACGAUAAGACCCUAUAAAGCUUUAUAAGAAAAUUUUAUUUGGUUAAUUUAAUAAAUAAAAUCCUAAUAUUUGUUCUUAUUUUAUUGGGGAGAUAAAAUUAUAAUUUUAUGUAACUGAUUGAAGAUAAAACAAAAAUAAAUGUUUAAUUAAAAAUAAUGAUCCUUUUUAAAGAUUAAAAGUUCAA